rnacentral:ncRNA from 1 species
AUAACCUUUUAGCAAACCUUCUUAAAGGAAGGGACGCAAAGCCAUGGGUCUAAGGAUGUAAAUCUAUGAUAGCCAGGUUGCAUAA